rnacentral:rRNA from 1 species
CCCUAGUAUUAAGAUAGUAAUAAUUAGUAAAUUAUUGAAAUUUAAUAAUUUUGGCGGUCAUUUUAUUAAUUUAGAGGAGUUUGUUUAAGAAUAAGAAUUUACUCUUUAGAUUUUAAUAAUAUAUUGGUUUAUUCAUCUCCGUUAAUAAAUUUAUAAUUAAUAAAGAGUUAUUUCUGGUAUCUCAGGUCAAGAUGUAGCAUAUAUUUUAUAUAAAUUAACUACAAUUAUAAAAUAAUGAAUCAUAAUAAAGAAAGGUUUUUAAGAAAUUGAAUUUAAUUGUAAUAAUAACUAAAAAGUUAUUAUGAAAUUUUAUGAUUGAUGUA